UACGGGGGGAGCAAGCGUUGUUCGGAUUUACUGGGCGUAAAGGGCGCGUAGGCGGUCAGCACAAGUCAGUUGUGAAAUCUCCGGGCUUAACUCGGAAAGGUCAACUGAUACUGUGCGACUAGAGUGCAGAAGGGGCAACUGGAAUUCUCGGUGUAGCGGUGAAAUGCGUAGAUAUCGAGAGGAACACCUGCGGCGAAGGCGGGUUGCUGGGCUGAUACUGACGCUGAGGCGCGAAAGACUAGGGGAGCGAACGGG
rnacentral:rRNA from 1 species